rnacentral:rRNA from 11 species
GGUGGGGGCCCUAAAUGCCCUAAAUGUACCAGAUCUCACCUGAUCUUGGAAACUAAGUAAAGUCUGCCCUGAUUAGUACCUGGAUGGAGGACUGCCAAUAAAUAACAGGUGUUAUAAGCU